rnacentral:rRNA from 1 species
GUCUAUGGCCAUACCACCUUGAAUACCCAAUCUCAUUUCAUCUUGGAAGAUAAGCAGGGUCUGGUCUAGUUUAGUAGUUGGAUGGGAGCCUGAACAACAAGAAAUCUAGAAU